CUCCUCGACAAAAACUGUUGGAAAGCCUCCAGAGCAGAGCGCAUCGUGUCCUAGAAAGCCAGUGCAGUAGAACUGUCACGGAGCAGUGCAGGCGAGAGAGGAACUUGACAGCAUGGUGGGAGCUGGAUUCACACCCACCACACCGAUAAACACGAGCAUGACGGCAGCGCAGCGUACAGCAGACAACGAUUAAGGAUAAUGUGGUGAAAGUGUGAGCAGAGAGACUGCUGCGAAUGCUCACACGUUAGCUCAUCGUCAUGAAUCGCCACCGUCUCGUCGUCCGCCCACCAGAGAGGGAAACAAAGGAAGCACAGAGAGUUGGAUCGGGACCAGAGUGUCGUGUUUGCCCGAGGAGACAAACCGCACUGGAGGCUUAUUAUGUGAAGUGAUGGUAACGACCUGGACUGAUUGCGGAGCUGAGAAGACUUCUGAUUCAGGUGAGAAAGAAAAACAGGAAAACGAGGAUGAGCCAGCAUGGAGAGUGAUGCAUGAGAUAUGUGACACACCACCCGCAGCUUUCAGAGAGCAUUCUUGGUUGCAUGUGUGUCUGUAUGUUUGUGCAUCUAAGCGUAUAUGAACGUGUGUGUGUGUGUGUCCUCUUGUGAGCAUGGGAGCAUCGAAGAGAGACCCAACAAGUGAGGAAGAGCACAGAGGAGAGACAGAGGACUGUGUGCGUUGGCUGUUGUGUGAAGUCAUCCUAAUUAAUAGCCGAGAGUGUCUGGCUGAAAGCGAUGUUCCUUAAAUUAGAAAACCUUCUGUUGUCCAAUUUGGCAUUAUAAACUAGCCACAUUAGGACCCAUGUUCCAGGGAGUCAUAACAAUGACAUGAUAAAUAUCUCUGCAGAGUGAUUUCAUGAACAAAAGGCUUCAAAGUGAUCUGCUGUGUUUUCCCUACAAAAAUCAGGCCAUCGUUUGCAGAACACGACAUCGACCCCUUCAUCUAUCUCUGAUCCGUCCAUCCCGUAUAACGGGUUAAGCUGCAGCCUUUUUAUGUAAUGGUGAACAUCAACCACAGUGAAGGAGACUGCAACGGGGCGGUGCAGGGAAUGGGUGCUGGUAAUGAUGUGUGUGUGUGCAUGCGUGUGUGUGUGUGUGUGUGCGUGGGUGUGUGCAUGCUGUACUGUUCCUAAUUAAAGUGGACCUCGGCGCAGUGAUCAAUACUCAAUGGUCCAUAGUAGCUAUAUGGGCUGAAGUCACCCAACCGCCUUUUAUUUCAUGUGUCAGUCACCCCAAUCCUUCUCUCCCCGUGUCACACACACACACACACAUCCAUCCUUUGUGUAAAACGGAUUGCGCUGACCGAGCAGUCUUCCAGUGACCACCCGUAGCUCGUGUCCAAUGAGAAGCAGUGAGUGUGCGUGUGUUUCCCCCUUAUGUCCAUUAGCACAGGAUGACGGAGGGGG
ensembl:lncRNA